rnacentral:SRP_RNA from 1 species
GUUGGGCCCGCGACAAACAGUUGUAGGGUGAAUUCCGCCAGGUCGGGAACGAAGCAACGGUAGCUUUUACGUUGUUGUGUUGUAUGGCCCAGCUGC